AGUCACUGACAUUAGAUACCCCUGUAGUCCUAGCCGUAAACGAUACUCGCUAGGUGUCGGCCACGGUGCGACCGUUGUCGGUGCCGUAGGGAAGCCGUGAAGCGAGCCACCUGGGAAGUACGGCCGCAAGGCUGAAACUUAAAGGAAUUGGCGGGGAGCACAACAACGGGUGGAGCUUGCGGUUUAAUUGGAUUCAACGCCGGAAAUCUUACCGGGACCGACAGCAACAUGAAGGCCAAGCUGAAGACUUUGCCGGAUUAGCUG
rnacentral:rRNA from 1 species